GACGAACGCUGGCGGCGUGCCUAAUACAUGCAAGUCGAGCGAAGACUUCAUCGGUACUUGUACCUUUGAAUUCUUAGCGGCGGACGGGUGAGUAACACGUGGGUAACCUACCUUAUAGUUUGGGAUAACUCCGGGAAACCGGGGCUAAUACCGAAUAAGUGAUUUCUUCGCAUGAAGUGAAUCUGGAAAGACGGUUUCGGCUGUCGCUAUAGGAUGGACCCGCGGCGCAUUAGCUAGUUGGUGAGGUAACGGCUCACCAAGGCGACGAUGCGUAGCCGACCUGAGAGGGUGAUCGGCCACACUGGGACUGAGACACGGCCCAGACUCCUACGGGAGGCAGCAGUAGGGAAUCUUCCACAAUGGACGAAAGUCUGAUGGAGCAACGCCGCGUGAGUGAAGAAGGAUUUCGGUUCGUAAAACUCUGUUGUAAGGGAAGAACAAGUAGCGU
rnacentral:rRNA from 1 species